rnacentral:rRNA from 1 species
AGAGUUUGAUUAUGGCUCAGGAUGAACGCUAGCUACAGGCUUAACACAUGCAAGUCGAGGGGCAUCAUGGAAGUAGCUUGCUACUCUGAUGGCGACCGGCGAAUGGGUGAGUAACGCGUAUCCAACCUGGCCUAUGCUCUGGGAUAGCCCUUAGAAAUGAGGAUUAAUACGAGAUGGUCUCCUUUGAUCGCCUGAGAUUAGGAGUAAAGACUUGUCGGCAUAGGAUGGGGAUGCGUUCCAUUAGAUAGUUGGCGGGGUAACGGCCCACCAAGUCGAUGAUGGAUAGGGGUUCUGAGAGGAAGGUCCCCCACAUUGGUACUGAGACACGGACCAAACUCCUACGGGAGGCAGCAGUGAGGAAUAUUGGUCAAUGGGCGGAAGCCUGAACCAGCCCAAGUAGCGUGAAGGAAGACGGCCCUACGGGUUGUAAACUUCUUUUGUCGGGGAAUAACCGUCGGCACGUGUGCCGACCUGCAUGUACCCGGUGAAUAAGGACCGGCUAAUUCCGUGCCAGCAGCCGC